rfam:Triticum aestivum genome assembly, contig: Triticum_aestivum_CS42_TGACv1_scaffold_032781_1BL
ACAGUACUUCCUCCGUCCGAAAAUACUUGUCAUCAAAAUGGAUAAAAAUGAGUGUAUCUAUAAGUAAAAUACAUUAGAUACAUCCCUUUUAUUCAUUUUGAUGACAAAUAUUUUCGGACGGAGGGAGUACCAC